UACGUAGGGGGCAAGCGUUGUCCGGAAUCAUUGGGCGUAAGCGCACGUAGGCGGCCCGGUAAGUCCGUUGUGAAAGUCAGAGGCUCAACCUCUGGAGGCCAAUGGAUACUGCCGGGCUAGAGUCCGGAAGAGGCGAGUGGAAUUCCUGGUGUAGCGGUGGAAUGCGCAGAUAUCAGGAGGAACACCAAUGGCGAAGGCAGCUCGCUGGGACGGUACUGACGCUGAGGUGCGAAAGCGUGGGGAGCGAACAGG
rnacentral:rRNA from 1 species